ensembl:lncRNA
GUGCAGUAGGGCCAGGGGACAUUAGGUCCAGGGGUCAGUAGUUCCAGGGGGCAGUAGGGCCAGGGGACAUUAGGUCCAGGGGUCAGUAGGUCCAAGGGGCAGUAGUUCCAGGGGGAAGUAAGGCCAGGGGGCAGUAGGUCCAGGGGGCAGUAGGUCCAAGGGUCAGUAGGUCCAAGGGGCAGUAGUUCCAGGGGGCAGUAGUUCCAGGGGGCAGUAGUUCCAGGGGGCAGUAGGUCCAGAGGCCAUUAGGUCCAGGGGUCAGUAGUUCCAGGGGGCAGUAGGGCCAGGGGCCAUUAGGUCCAGGGGUCAGUAGGUCCAAGGAGCAGUAGUUCCAGGGGGCAGUAGUUCCAGGGGGCAGUAGUUCCAGGGGUCAGUAAGGCCAGGGCGCAGUAGGUUCAGGGGGCAGUAAGGCCAGGGGGCAGUAGGUUCAGGGGGCAGUAGGUUCAGGGGGCAGUAGUUCCAGGGGGCAGUAAGGCCAGGGGGCAGUAGGUUCAGGGGGCAAUAGGUUCAGGGGGCAGUAGGUUCAGG